UACAGAGGUGGCAAGCGUUGUUCGGAAUUACUGGGCGUAAAGGGCGCGUAGGCGGCCUUCUAAGUCAGACGUGAAAUCCCCCGGCUUAACCUGGGAACUGCGUCUGAUACUGGGAGGCUUGAGUAUGGGAGAGGGAUGUAGAAUUCCAGGUGUAGCGGUGAAAUGCGUAGAUAUCAUGAGGAAUACCAGAGGCGAAGGCGGCUACCUGGACAAUUGCUGACGCUCAGGCACGAAAGCGUGGGGAGCAAAAGGG
rnacentral:rRNA from 1 species